AGGAAAGGGAGGGAUUCGAACCCUCGG
rnacentral:tRNA from 2 species